GGUAACUAUGGCAACGCGGGGGGCCGAAGGGAAGAACCGCAGUAGGCUCGGCUGGGCUGGGGCGCGCGGAGGGGCUUAUUUGAAUAUGAUUUGCAUAUGCAGAUGACGAUGCAUGGAGACGUGGGGCGGUCUGCAACCCACCAUGGCGGGCCUGAACGGACCUUAAAAACCACCUCGUUCCACCCCUGCCGUGGCAGGGACACCUUCAAUAUCCCAGGGUGCUCCAAUCCCCAUCCAGCCUGGCCUGGGACACUUCCAGGGAUCCAGGGGCAGCCACAGCUUCUCUGGGCACCCUGUGCCAGGGCUCAGCACCCUCACAGAGAAGAAUUUCCUGCUAAGAUCUUACAAUCCUCAGCUCUCCUUUACACUGCCACACAAUUCCAGUGUGGAUACAUCCCUGUUCUUUAAACCCUGAUCCCGCGUUUAUCAACAAGCGCAGCAGGAAAACCCCUGGUGGUGGAAAAAUUGAGGCAACCACGAAGAGGGGUGUGAGCAACAACCAUCAGGAUGAAAAUUUAAAAGACAAGCACAGACUGCCAGCCUAGAGGAUGCCAUGACAGCUCCCGUUGUGGAGAUUCCCGUGUGGAAUGUUAAUUGUUGUCUGUCAGGCCAAGCCCCGGUGAGCCAGGGUGCUCCUCACCUGCCCCGAGGUAAUCCCAGCUCACCACAAUUAAGGCAUUAAUUCGAUACCUGAAGGAUCAGCCACCAACAUUCCACAAAGGUGUGAUCAUUUUUCCAUGAAAAUUUGCUGAAUACUGGCUGCCAGAGUGAAAAUGGGGACAAAGGGAUCGGUCAAAUUCAGUUGGUGUAUUUUAAUAUCCUGUAGAGGAAUGGAUAAAUGGGGUUGGCAGCGACAGGAGAUAAAGGAUGAGCUCCCUGAACACAAAUAAUCUCCUUCAGAGCAGCGUCGCUUUCAUUUGGGUAAAAAAAGGAACUGGCUGAGCUGCCUGAAGCUGCUCUUUGAGUAUUUCCAGCCCCUGCUGACUGCGUUUGACACACCUGGGCUGUAACAGCUGGAGCUGGGAAAGCAGAAGGUGAGGGAAGCUCGUGUCUCAGCUUUGGGACAGAGCAGAGCCCUUGGGAGCAUGGAGAGGGCACAGGAAAGGGCUGUUCCCUCCCAAAAGCUUCCUGUUUGUCCCCACACAGCACACAGGGUGCUUUAAGGAUGUUGGUGCCUCUGCUCUGCAGGUCAGGGCUGCUCAGGGCACAAGAAGAGAGGAGCAGCACCUCCAGAGCUCAGCCCUGAGUGGCUAAGGCAGCCCAGCAUGGAAAAGGUGCCAGGACAGAGUUUGAGCAGAAAACCUGGAUGAGGAAUAAAGCAGGAUCCUGGCCUGGGUGGGUACCAAGCUCAGCACACAUCUGUGCACUGUGUCCACCUGGCUACACCCAGCCCCUUCUCCUCCAGCCUCAGCUCCUUGUGGAUUUGUUUCACCCUUCGAGUCUGCAACACUUUGCAGAUGCUUGGUGCAUUUCUCCUCACAGAACUGGUCUGGGCAAAGAGUUUGUGGUAUUAGGAGGCCAGCCCCAUCCCUAGUGGGUUACAGCUGUGAAAAGCAGGUGAACAGCACUGAAAGUAAAGAGAAACAGAGUGCUGAGGUGUACUGCCCAAUCACACAGGGAGCAGAGGGCACACAGGGGCACUGCAUGAACGUGAGGGGUAUAAAAGUUUGGGCUAAAGAACAAGAAGGGCAGGUGCAUGCAGCUUUCUGAAGUGCCAUGGUGUGACUCUGUAUGGGUGAAUGCUUUAAGCCUUCUGAAAUUGCAUGGUGACACUCUGUAUUGUGGCUGUGAAUGUACUGCAAGAGUUCAGUUCCUCUUUGGUGACAACACCCUGACUUGUGCAGCUCAGCUGUUUGCUGCCUCAGGAACCAUCUUCCCUGUUUUUAUCCUGGACAUCCUACAACCAACAGGAAGACCUGCCAUGGUGGGCAUCCUCUGGCCCAGGUCCUGUGUUGCUCCAAAAUGAGGUCUGGAAGCUGUCCCUGAACCCUGUCACCUCUUCCUGGCACCAAUGGCCUCAGUGUCACUGCCAACAGAGCCCUUCAGAGCAUUUCCUCCAGGCACAGCAUCAUCGACCUCCAGCUCUUUGUCCCACAAAUCACAACAAGGCUGAGGUGGUGACAAACCAGCUGUUUCACAAGAGAAAUCCGACAUGAAAAGGCAAAGCGUACAAGCUGUUGCUUAAAUGUAUGGAAAAACAUGGGAAGAAUCUCACAGGCAAGUAAAGCAUCAGAGAAGAGGGCCUUGGUAUGGAUGCAGCUGGUUUGGGAUCUCAUGGAUCUGCCCUGAAUUACAGAAAGUGUGGAGAAGGCAAGUCCCUUCCUGUGCUGCCUGUCAGGGAGUGAUAACCAUUUCAUCUGUAAUGGGAAGAGCAGCCCCACAUUCCCUCUCCUGGCAGAGGCUGAGUUUUCACAGGACUGUCCCUUCCUCCUUCAGCACUGAGCAAGGGAUGAACACCUCGAGCUCUUCUGGAAAGCAGCCCUGACACACCACAGUCAGCACCUCCCUCCUGCAUCUUUGGCUGUCCUUACUUUUAUGGAGGCACUUCUUGGAUUUUUGGGCAGAAGGAAACUACUGGGAGGGAGGAGCAGCCAUUGAGGGCUGAUGGACCCUUCCCACCACAGGCCAAGCUCCAGGUGUGGUGGCUGCACCUUGCAGCCAGGCCCCAGAGGGCUGAGCUCCCUGCCAGCAGGAAGAGCAGAUUUUGGGAAGCUGGGCUGAUGGCAGGAAUUCAGGAUGAAUAAGUUACUGGACACAGGGGGAUGAGGGAAGUGAUUCUGCUCCUGUGCUCUCCUCAGGUGAGACCCCACCUGCAGUGCUGUGUCCAACAGAAGGAUGUGGAGCUGCUGGAUGAGUCCAGAGGAGGCCACAGGACUGAGCCUCUGCUCUGGGGCCAGGCUGGGAGACUUGGGAGUGCUCAGCCUGGAGAACACUCAGACCUUCCAGCAGCUUCCAGUAUCUCAAGGGGCUACAAGAGAGCUGGAGAGGGACUUUGGACAAGGACCUGGAGACAGCACAAAGGGGAAUGGCUUCCCACUGUCAGAGGGCAGGGAUAGAUGGGAUACUGGGAAGAAAUUCUUCCCUUCAAGGGAGGUGAAACACUGACACAGAUUGUCCAGAGCAGCUGUGGCUGCCCCAUCCCUGGAAGAGUUCAAGGCCAAGCUGAAUGGGCUUGGAGCAACCUGGAGCAAUGUAAUUGCAGCUGCUGCUGCUUCACUGCUUCACUGUAUUUUGGAAUCACAGAAUGGUUGGGGUUGGAAGGGCCAUGGGCAGGGACACCUUCCCCAAGAGCAGUCUGUUCCAAGCCCUUUAGGCACUGGAAGGUGCUGCAAGGUCUCCCCAUAGCUCAGAGCACCUCAGACUCUGGUAUGGCCUCCCUGCAGUCACAGCUGAUCCUGUUUGUGUCCCAGCCUGGCCAGAAGGUUUCUAUACCCCUAUCCCAUAGCAACAGGAAGGGCAAGAACUCCACCUACCCUUCCAACCAAGCUCCAAAAAUCCAGCCUAAAAAUCAGACACCCAACAACCUUUUGUGGGACCAAGGCUCCUUGAAGCUGGCAUUGCCUGAAACAUUCCUCUUAAAACAGAAACUCCUUUCCCUGCCUGGAGGAGGUGAAAUGAGGCUGAUCCUUGACAAUGCUGACUAGAUGCAGCUCUUUCCUGACCCUCACGUUUAUCCCCAGGGUCAGUGCCACACAAAGCAAUCCCAGAAAGAGCAGCAGAGCCAGAGACACCAACUAAGGCAAACUGAACAGACGUCCAGUGGAGGCUGCUGCACCCACCCUUGGGCACAUUUUCAACCCAAGAUGAGCAGAGCCAAGAAAAUCAGCUCUGCUGUUACAAGAUACCUGCACAACCUCUCCUGGCUGCAUUGCACAGAGGGACUGGAGGUCACCCUUUGGAUCACCAGUAUACGUUUCCCUGAGGCUUCCUGGGACCAAACAAGGAAGACAUGGAAAAUCACCAUGAGUGCUUUCCUUUUUGACUCAAUAGAUCAUUUUGGAGCAAGAUCUUCUCCUCCAGGGGUGGAGGAAAAGAGAAGGCUACAGCCAAGAUGGUUGGGAAAUGGGAGGGAAUGGACCCAAACCCAACAGCAUCAUGUACCAAGGCCUCUUCUAGCAGAACCUUCCAGAAGAAGAUUUAACAACGCCGCGACUGCCCCCUGCUACUCUUCAGGCUUCAAAUGCAUUGGCCAAAAUCCUGCUGCCAGAGGAAUGCCCCUGGUGUGUCACGGCCGUGGUGUCCCAUGCACUAUUUCCGCAGCCGGGUGUACACGGCGAAUGCCACGGCAGAAAUGACACCGAUGGCUGGAAGGAUGUACAGCAGGGACAGGCCAUUGCUGUCCCCCUUUGGGACUCUGGCCUGAGGUGAGCUGGUGGCAGUGUCACAGCCACUGCCAGGGCUGGAAUUCAGGGAGCUUCCAAGGGCACUGACUCCGUCAUUGCCGGCUCCAAGAUGGACGCUGGGGUGAUGAUCCACACGGAGCUCGUGGGUGCCCAGGGAGCUGCUGUUCCAGCUCGGAGCAGGACAGGAGUCUCUUCUUGCUCCAGAUGCCUCCUUUUCUCUGGGGGCUGCAGGAACUGAGGAGACUCUGGGCAGUGCUGCUCCUGAGCUCAGGCUAUCCCUGCUCACCAGGAUUGGGUCGCUGCUGAGGCCGAGGCUGCUGGGGGUGGUGGAACAGGGGUUGCUGGGCUCCCGAGAGCUCGGAAAUCUGCCAGCCACCUCUGGGCUGCCCUGCGGCGUGGACACAAGGACACCUGGCUUGCUGAGCUCCUCUUCCCUCUCCUCAUCACCGUGAGACAGCCAGAUGCUCGUGGCAGAGCUCACCCGGGAUGCUGAUCUCCCAUCUCUCUCUUCGGAGCCGCCCACCACAGCUGUGCCCAGGGCAGGGUGUGCCGAGGCCGGGAGCACCUUUGGGAGACAAGGAGAGGGGCUGGGUGUCAAGGGAAGCACCCAACAGCCUGGUCUUGGGCACACAGGUCCCACACAAACCCACUUCAACACAGCCUGCAUCCACAAGGCUGGGUCACAGGUAACAGGGAGGUGAAGGAGGGAGGGAGGCAGUGGAAAAGAGCACUUGGAAGCCAGGAGACUGGCAAGGUGAGGUGGGGAAAUAAGGAGUCAAAGCCCAACAAAGUUUGGCUCCCUUCUCCCAUGCUCCACCAUACAGCGUGUGGAUGGGAUUUUUUUCCCACCACCACAGUGGGGGAAAAAAAAAUCCCUGAAUAAACUCAUCACCAGCUCACAGUGUGACACUGCAACAGAAAAUCUCCUAAACACGGGGAGUGCACAAGGACACAAAUGAAAUCCAAGUGGCAAGAGGAAAGGUCACCUACUUUCUCCUUCGUUGGCACAGAGGGGGUGCUGCUGGCUGUAUUCCCAACAGGCAGUUUCUUCUCUUGCGUAAGAGACUUGACAGAGGUGUCACGGGAUGGGAAAGUGUCUCUGGGCACAGGGGUAGCAGCCAGGGUUGUUUCCAUCGAAGCACCUGUCACAGAGAAAAUAAAGUGUUGUGUAAACCAAGG